rnacentral:rRNA from 1 species
AUUGAACGCUGGCGGAAUGCUUUACACAUGCAAGUCGAGCGGCAGCGCGGGGCAACCUGGCGGCGAGCGGCGAACGGGUGAGUAAUACAUCGGAACGUACCCAGUUGUGGGGGAUAGCCCGGCGAAAGCCGGAUUAAUACCGCAUACGGCCUGAGGGUGAAAGGGGGGGGAUCGCAAGACCUCUCGCAGUUGGAGCGGCCGAUGGCGGAUUAGCUAGUUGGUAGGGUAAAGGCCUACCAAGGCGACGAUCCGUAGCUGGUCUGAGAGGACGACCAGCCACACUGGAACUGAGACACGGUCCAGACUCCUACGGGAGGCAGCAGUGGGGAAUUUUGGGACAAAUGGGGGGCAACCCUGAUCCAGCCAUUCCGCGUGAGUGAAGAAGGCCUCGGUUGUAAAGCUCUUUCGGUCAGGAACGAAACGGUAGGUCCGUAAUACGGAUUGCUAAUGACGGUACCUGAAGAAGAAGCACGG